ACUGCGGUAGCCCAGUUGGUAGUGGCGUCGGCAGUACAGAGGUCGCAGGUUCAAAACCUGCCUGCAGUG